rnacentral:rRNA from 1 species
UACGUAGGUGACAAGCGUUAUCCGGAUUUACCGGGCGUAAAGAGCGCGCAGGCGGUCGAAUAAGUCGAAUGUGAAAGCCCCCGGCUCAACUGGGGAGGGUCAUUCGAUACUGUUCGACUUGAAGGCAGGAGAGGGAAGCAGAAUUCCCGGUGUAGUGGUGAAAUGCGUAGAUAUCGGGAGGAAUACCAGUGGCGAAGGCGGCUUCCUGGCCUGUUCUUGACGCUGAGGCGCGAAAGCUGGGGGAGCAAACGGG